UCUCAAAUAUCGUAGUCGGAUUUCCCACCUUGUUAAUACUGUUAAAAUAAAGAUUUCGUUUCAACAUGAGUUUUGGAGGGGACAAACAUUCGAACCAUAGCAGGGACACUGGGGGUCAGUGCACAAAGGGCCACGUAAGGACACAGCGAGAAGGUAGCCAUUUGCAAGCCAAGGAGAGAAGCCCCACCAGACACCAACCCUGAUGGCACCUUACCCUUGGACCUUCUAGCCUCCCAAACUGUGAGAAAAUAAGUUUAUUGUUUAA